CAAAGUGCGUCAACCAAGGNUAGCGCGUAGAAAUNUCGAAUUCCAGCGGAACCUUACGGGUGCAACGGGGACGGCGUGAGAGAACACGUGAGUGAUCGGGCUGUGAGUGGGGGAUAUCGGGCCGAAAGGCGCGGCAAUCCCGCAUACGUUCCGGGAAACCGGAUGAAAGCUUGGCAACAGGCGCUCACAGGGGAGCUCGCGGCCCAUUAGCUAGUUGGGGGGGUAACGGCCUCCCAAGGCGACGAUGGGUAGCCGGCCUGAGAGGGUGAACGGCCACACUGGGACUGAGACACGGCCCAGACUCCUACGGGAGGCAGCAGUAGGGAAUCUUCCACAAUGGGCGCAAGCCUGAUGGAGCAACGCCGCGUGAGUGAAGACGGCCUUCGGGUUGUAAAGCUCUGUCUGUCGGGACGAAGACCGGCCCGGAAGGGCCGGGGAGCCGGUACCGACGGAGGAAGCCCCUGCAAACUACGUGCCAGCAGCCGCGGUAAGACGUAGGGGGCAAGCCGUUGUCCGGAUUUACUGGGCGUAAAGGGCGUGUAGGCGGUCGAUACGUUAGCGGUUUUAAGCCUCCGGCUCACCCGGAGGAGGNCGGCUAAACGGUCGCGCUAGAGGCAGAAAAGGUGCGUGAAUUCCCUGGGAGCGGUGAAAUGCUAAAGAUUCAGGAAGAAACCCGUGCCGAAGGCGGCCACUGGCCCUGGCCCCUGACGCUGNNGGCCCAAAGCCUGGGGAGCGAACGGGAUUAAAAUACCCCGNUAGCCCCCGAAAACCAUGGGUUCUGUCCCCGGGUUCCACCGGGGGGCCGGAACUUAACCCCCUUAUUACCCCCCUUGGGACCCCCCAAGGUAAAUAAAGUUUUGCGGGGGCCCCCAACUGGAUC
rnacentral:rRNA from 1 species